AUACAACAGCCACCGUUUAUUAGAUCAUUAAGUUAUCUACUUGGAUAACUGUGGCAAUUCUAGAGCUAAUACAUGCACGCAAGCUCGGACCUUAUGGGAAGAGCGCAUUUAUUAGACCAAAACCAAUCAAGCUUCGGUUUGUGUUUUGGUGACUCUGAAUAACUAAGUUGAUCGCACAGUCUUAGUACUGGCGACGUAUUUUUCAAAUGUCUGCCUUAUCAACUUUCGAUGGUAGGUUAUACGCCUACCAUGGUUAUAACGGGUAACGGAGAAUAAGGGUUCGACUCCGGAGAGGGAGCCUGAGAAAUGGCUACCACAUCCAAGGAAGGCAGCAGGCGCGCAAAUUACCCAAUCCCAGAACGGGGAGGUAGUGACGAAAAAUAACGAGGUAGUCCACUUUGUGGCCUGCCAUCGGAAUGGGUACAAUUUAAAUCUUUUAACGAGGAUCUAUUAGAGGGCAAGUCUGGUGCCAGCAGCCGCGGUAAUUCCAGCUCUAAUAGCGUAUAUUAAAGUUGUUGUGGUUAAAACGCCCGUAGUUGAAUCUUCGGUCUUGAAGCUCGGUAACUCGUAAGGGUUUAACUGAGUCUUCUGGCCUAAAUUUUAGUAUUCUCCUGAUGCUCUUUAUUGAGUGUCUUGAGUUGCUAGAACGUUUACUUUGAAAAAAUUAGAGUGCUAAAAGCAGGCUAUAUGCUUGAAUAAAGUGCAUGGAAUAAUGGAAUAGGACUUUAGUUUUAUUUUGUUGGUUUUCGAAAUUAAAGUAAUGAUUAAGAGGAACAGACGGGGGCAUUAGUAUUGUUGCGUUAGAGGUGAAAUUCUUGGAUCGCAGCAAGACUAACAACUGCGAAAGCAUUUGCCAAGAAUGUUUUCAUUAAUCAAGGACGAUAGGUUAGAGGUUCGAAGGCGAUCAGAAAAACCGCCC
rnacentral:rRNA from 1 species